UGUAUAUUAAACUACUCAUGACUGUGGUCCUUGCAUGUUUCCCAAGUCAAUGACUAUUUACUUACUCUUCUAGAGGAUGGUGGAAUGCAAGCUAAGGCAGACUUAUAUAAACAUAAUGAUGAAUUAGCUAAACAGCUAGAACACAUGGAGCAGAAGCUCGAAGAACUUCUUGAUAUUGUAGUGUCCAAGUGCAGACAAAUGAACAUUUCCGAGAAGCAACAACUUCAGAAUUUGAUUCAGACUUUGUCCCCAAAAAAUCAAGAUCGAGUUGUACAAAUUAUCAAAUGUAGAAAGCUAC